rnacentral:lncRNA from 1 species
GGUGGGGCAUUUUAAAAAUCACACUCUGUCCUUCUCCCUCCUUCUAUCUUAAUGAACCACCAUCCCUUUUCAUCGAAGAUUAAUGUGUGGCAAUAAAAAGAUGAGCGACAGACCCAAACGACGAAGGAAGAGGAAGAAGGAAAACAGUAUGUGGCUGCGAGAAGACGAACGGUGAAGUGGAGGUGGAGGAAAAAGAGAGCAGCAAGUUCGAGUGGUGAAAGGAGAAAGAGGAUAGAGAAGUGAGCGGCAGGCUCAAAUGGCAGAAAGGGAAAGGGAUAGGGAGGUG